rnacentral:lncRNA from 1 species
GGAAGAUGGGGGCACCUACAGUUGCAAGGUGGGCACCAGUUGUCAGGAGUUGACAGGAGGGCAUAGCCAGGAACAGCUGGUGUCUCCUUACUGGGACAUGCUGUGACCUGUAGAAUCGUGUCUGACCAUUUCUGGAGGAUGCAGUACUGAAUUCAAGUAACAAGGUGUCCUGUGAACCCCCCACAGUCAGAUGGGUGAGGGAUGGGGAGGGUCACGCAGGGUGUGGGCGGCGUGCCUGGCAUGGGUCCUGCCAAGUUCGUCAGGUAACGUGAUACUUCUCCCUUGCUUUUUGGUAGAUGGACAGUGUGUCACCCUCGGGGAGCAGGUGGGCUGGCAGGACAGGCGGCCCCAGGCCGGGAGAAGGAGACACUCCCAGACAGCACAAGUCAGUCUUCUGGUGAUUGUAACAGGAUGGUCACCUGAGAACAGUCAUCUACUGACACCCUGAACCAGAAUCUCCAGAAAAGACAGAAAUUUUGAAACAGCAGCAACAACAGAAAUUCAUGAUGUGCUAGGAGACAGGGAUGACUGCAGUCAGAGGACCAGAUGUCUUGAUUGAUUAUUAAGAGAGAGAAACAGGCGAUGUUUGUGGAAUCACAUCACCACAGAAGACAUGCAGACAGGCCUAAUGCAGAGAAGAGUGGAAGUUAGGACGCUCAGCGCAGAUUAAUGGACUCAGGGAGUUGGAGAGGGCUGGCUGGCAGCACUUACUCAGAGGAGCAGAGCCAGGUAUCCCCCUCAAACCCCCCGGCUUUGGGCCCAGGCAGUCAGAAGUUGUGUCGGGGCCAGCCACCAACUCCAGUGAGGGACAGGGAGCCACUUCCAGGAGAUGAAACAUUGUCACAUGCAGUCCAAAGACACCCCUCCUUCUCCCUGCUGCAACACCCGAGGCUGACCAAAGUAGACAGGAACAGUAUCCAGGAUGAGCAAACCAAGCCUCUCUAAAGCAAAACUGCCAACAAGCUGGGAACCACAGCACGCUGGAGGGAAACCAGCAGCAGGAGAAAGCAGCAGCAAGCACAGCAGAAAGAAGACGUGGGGCCGCCUUCCGGACGGAGACUCGGUCAGACACACGGCUCCUUCAAAGGGAGUGCCAAAGGCCUUGAAGAGUAGACGGUCAAAGUGGCACAGCCAGGAAAGCAGGACUCACAGAAUGGGCAGCAUGAAGAGUUGCAUAGCCACGGACUAUUGAGAACGCAGACCCAGAACUGUUACCGCACUCAGACGUCAAAAACCGAGAGCUAUUCCCGAGCACAGACCGAGGACCAGCGAGUCCAGGACUCGCUGAUGCAGAGCUCCAGGACUGACAGGCGGGGAGAGCGAGAGGAAAAGCUGAGGCCAAGCGCGAUGCUGAGAAGCUCCAUAUUCUGUUUAACAGGAGUCUGAGGACCAGGAAAGAGAGAAUAUUGAGGGGAAGAUAAUGGAGACAUCCUAGAAGAUCGUCUCCCCGAGCACAGAGCGCAUCACAGGACUGACCAGUAUUGAGUGGGCGCGGGGAAAACAUGGCUGCCAGGACCUGUGAGGACCGAGUUUCAGAUACUGUGGACAGCGGAGACUCCACAGGGGCUCUGCAGGAGGAGACGGGAGGCGAUAGCCCCUGCAAAGCUCUGGCUGGUGAUUGGCAUCAGACUUCUCAAUGAGAAACUGUACUCUAGAUUUAAUUAGAACAGUAUCUUCAAAAUACUCGGGAAAAAUGAUUUCAAACCUGGAAUUGUAGACACAGACAGACUAGAAUUCAAAUUGAAGGGCAAAGGAAAAGUGUCUUCAGAUAGUGAAGGACUCAGAGGUUACCAGCCUCAUCCCUAAUACCCUGACAAAACUAAAAAAAAGACAACUAUCUAUGAAAGAAAACAAGUUUUGAUUCCACAAAUAAUGGAGAGG